AUGAAUAAGCCAGAAGAUAGUCAGCACAGAAGCCUCCCUACAACCUGGAAAAAGAAAUGAGCUUUCACUUUGAAUAUCACACAGACAUACUGAGGUGGGAAACUACAUGUGCGUGCUUGACACAACUUGAAAACAAUACAAAACAACAAAUCACAAUUGCAAAAUCAUACAACACAAAUGGAAUCACAGUCCAUAAGGGAGGCCAUGAAAGAGAGAGUGCAUGUGGUGGACAUAUUAAGCUGAUAUGCAGACCUGGUAAGUUUCCAAAAUGUUCUGGGACUAAAUCAGGGACAGGAAUACACAGAGGGAAGCCCAUACUUGGUCGAGGUUGGUUCACAGCAGAAAUGACAGUGUAAAGAUCAAUAACAGUCCCUUGUUACUGAGAGGGCACCGUUUUCACAUUCAGAAGGGCUUGUCCCUGGACUACAUAACUGCCCAGUUAUUUUUCUUCGGUAAAUCAAAGCUAUCAAUUACAGCCUCCUAGAGCAGCUACUCCAGCUGCUGUAGGAUAGACAGGGCUGAAAAGGAAAAUCAUUGACUGUGCAUAGCUCUUUCUGGACUUGUCUCCUGCCAGGGAUGGUGUCAGACAAGUGCUGAAGGCACUGUUUGUUUCCUGCCCCAAUGCUGAGCUCAGACCACAACCGAAUCCAGAGCCUGCCAUUUAUCACUUGACCACGUACAUCUGAACCUGCAAGACCCUCGCACAGCCUUCACUGAGACUCCAAUCUUCUAGGUUUCCCUCCAGUGAGCGAACCAGCCAGCUGUGUCAGUGCCAUUCGGAAGUGCAUUCCUGGAUAUGGCAACAGUGAUCAACAUCCCCAUGAUAUGAGAGAUCUGUGGUUAAGCAAUGUACAAGGAGGCUGCCAGGAAAAGAGAUGGCACUAGUUGGAGCUGAAUAUUUCCUGAGGCUUGUAAGUAUACAGCCAGCCCCUGAGCCUGCGACCAUAGCCAAAACCAAAUCAGUCAGAGACCCUCCCUAUUCCUGUACAGCCAAUUGGAAGAGAUAG
rnacentral:lncRNA from 1 species